rnacentral:lncRNA from 1 species
AUUAUAUCAUGAGUGACUUAUGAUUUGUGUUGGUGAGGCAAUAGGCUUUUUAGUAGGAUCCCCACUAGGGUUGAAGGAACACUGCCAUAGGGGAAAAAAAAUUUAAAGCUGAGAGACUGAGAGUAAUUAAUUUUCCAGGGACUACUUGUCACUGCUAGUCAGAUAAAAAAAAAUGAAGAGAAAGAGAAAGGAUUCGGAGCUUUUUUUGGGGAUGGUGGUUUGAAGGAAAAGUAAGUGAAAAAGGGUACUUGUUAUUUAUGGAAGCUGAGAGAUAGAUAGAGAUAGAGAGAGGGAGUGAAUGUGAAUGAGAGAGAAGGGAAUAGUCU